UAUUGGUCCAAUCGUCACCACCGCAAUCCAUACCGGAGCGAUGCCCCAGCUCAUGAAAACUAUUGCUAAAAACCACAUCGUAAUGUUAAAAGGUUAUGAUCUUGUGGGCCACGUUCCUGACUGCCCAGAGCCACGUGCAACCCGUGGGCCAUGGGUUGAACAGGCCUGGUGUGGUGGCAGACCUGGAGUGCUAGGUUAACAUUAGGACUCGAUGACAUGAGCGGUCUUUCCAACCCCAAAGGGGUCACCAAGCAACAGGCUAUGACGUCACCGGGUGAUGGAUUGUGAUUGCAUGGCCCUCACUGCUUAUACCGGGGCGCCGGCAGAGCCUGGCUCAGUCUGGCUUGUUCCUGGAUCGUGCUGAGCGACUCUGCGAGGCUUGGAGGUCGAGCAAGGCUUUAGCUGUGCUGUGCCGGGCCGUGCCUGUGGCUGCUUGCAGCAGCUCCCAGAGCUCAUCCCCACAGCACCUCUCGUGUUUCCCUGGCCCUGCCCUGUGCAGGCAGCCGGGGCCCAGCGAGACGCGCCCGCAGCAGCGGAGUGCGUGACUGCAGCACCGGUGAAGGAGAGCCACUGUCACCCUCUGCUCUCUCCACCUGUAGCAGCCAGUAAGACGACCAUGGCCACAACAGAGGCGUGGACGUGUCCCAUCUGCCGCGACGUGCGACGAGACAUCGCGUCUGUGGUCCCGUGCAGCCAUCAGUUCUGCGUGGGCUGCAUCCAGCGGUGGGCGAGGCUGAGGGACAGCUGCCCGCUCUGCAGGACGGCCAUGAGGACCAUCAAGGUCUCUGUGUGGGGGGACCAGCACUAUGAAGAGUGCGUUGUCUCCCCGCCCGCAGUGCCGGUACCCGCUGGCUUCCAGCCCGGCACCGCCACCCACUCCAACGGCACUGCGGCACGUGCUCCAUCCCCGCUGCCACGGCCACCCCAGCAGACGGCCGCGGAGCCAGAGGCGAGGGCGAGGCUGGGCGGCCUCCUGCCGCAGGAGUGGGCGGCACUGUUCAGGGAGCGACACAGCAUCCUCAACCCCGUGCUGCCCUCCCUGCACCAGAAGCUCUCUGCCAUCCAAGGGAUCCACUGGUGGCAGGUCCUGUCGGCAGAGAGCCUCUUCCUCUGCUGCCUGUGUUGGAUGGGGCCGGACAGGGACUUCAUGCUCCGGUGCGCAGAGCCCAGCUUGGGACCCAUGGCCGCGCCGCUCACUGACUGGCUCGUGCAAGCCAUCGUCAGUCGCUGCGGCCGGGAAGCCCGCAGGCUGCGCGGCCUCGAGGAUGAGGAGGACAGCCGUGCGACCGCUUCCCCACAGAGGACCCUCACAGCCAGCACCACGCCCUCCGGCAGCUCUGCGGGCCUGGACGCGGAAGAGCUCCCCGGCACAUCCAGUGGGCUCCUUCACGGGGACGCUGGCGAGCUCCGCGCCGCACCCAGCCCUGGGGAGCGGGAGCAGCCCCGUGAGGAGCCGGGGCGGGAGGCAGCAGGGCCCAGCGCCCAGGGCCGCAGCCACGGCCGCUCCGCUCCCGGCCGGGGCCGGCAGCGCUGCUCUGGGGGACCCCGUCGGCCCACGAAGAGGAGGGCCAGCAGUGCCCUGGGUGCUCCACAGCCCUGCAAGAGGCCGCCCCCCCGGCGCCGCUAGCAGGGCUUACACGCCUUUGUCAUCAAGUAAAACAAUAAAUUAACAUUGAAUACUCCACAGAAAAUAGUUCUCCACCGCUGGUAUACGUACUGCCCAGAGGCAAGGAAGUGAAUACGGUGUGAUUGUCAAGCAAGGGAUAUUCUUCACCGUGCCUGAAGGUGAUUUAAACGAACACAAACAUGCUUUCAAUUGGUUCUAACCUAGCGAGGAAAUGAACACACCGGAGCGUCUGCGCACAUCGAAAGGGUGUACAAAACUGAGCUCAUCCUCUCUGCUGGAUGAGAGAUGACACCACCACUCCUCGCACUAAUCCCUAACACACAAGUGUACUGCUGCGUGUAGCAGAUUGGCUGUCCAAAUACUCCUCAAAAUACCAGCUCCUCACAGACUUCACUACCCACAUUCACUGGUUCAGUGUAUUCCUUUGUUUUUCUUAGGAUUUUUAGAACUCCAGUUCUUAGACUCGGGUCAGCCAUCGUUCUUUCCCUUGGUUACGUUCAUUUCUCGCUCAUCAGUCCAUUUCAGAUGAGGACUGAUCCACUGACCCCCUCAGCAGCAAGAUUCUUAUGCCCUCUGACAAUAUCAUGCCGUACAUUCCAUGCAAAGAAUUUCCCAUUAUAUUUUCAGGCGCCUACCGAUCAGCUUUGUACAGGUACUGAAAUCUUAGCAGGAAGCCAAAGGCCUUUGCAUUCGUUUCGUUCUGGAGGAUGUUGUGCCCUGUCCUGUCACGAACAUGCCUUUGGAUCUGGAGAAAGGAACGGCCAAUUAACCUCUCUCCUAUUCAUUAACUCAUCAAUCGUCCCACUUGAGAAAGAGGACAGCUUACAGCAAGUGACAUCUAUAGUCACAUGAAAGAAAACCUGGCUCUCUAGCCCUACCCCUCAUGAGCGCAUGCGGAUAUGUGGUAGGCCUCUGUCCAUCAGUAAGGCAAUGCUGGGUGCUUCCCUGGCUGGAAGGAAGGUCUGGACAGCUUUUCUGCUUCUCGUUUUUGCAGAAUGGCUUUUGAGACAAACUCUGUUCCUCACGUGUACACUGGAGAACCUGCACUCCCAAUUCCCGUUUCAAAAGCACGGACAGAUGGACUGACUUCAAAGCCUGGUGACUUCUUUUCUUCCUAAACUAUGGACAAUCAGUGAUUGACGAGCUAUUAUUAAAAUCACCACUAAUAAUUAGACCUAUCCUUCUCUUGAACCUUUCUUCUUUACCCCUUCCAGGUAGCACAUUGAGUGGUGUUCCCUCUGCUCCACAAUGUUCUUUCACCAGAAAACUCACCCCAGCUGCUCUCACCACAGCUUUUGGUUGCCACGCUUUUCUGUCAUCCCUCAUUGCUAUUCUGUUUGAUGCAGGACAGUCAAUGAGAACUGUGCCCAAAUGGCAUUUUCAGCCCCAGCUCAACUCAAUAGUCAGCAAUAUAAAAAGUCACACGUUGUCUCUUGAGAGCAAAAUCCAACUUGAAGCGUGGGCUUUCUUCAGCUGGAAGGUCUUGCACUGAACAGCAAGCUUUAGUGCAAACCCCCGCUUUGCUCAAAGAUGUUGUCUUGCCUAAGUACUAGAUCACCAGUGGAUGCCAGAAACAGCGCAACCUCAUUAAGAAAUGAGUAGAAGUUCCAAAAUCCUGAAGGGAACCUCUCUCUCCGACCAGAAACACCUACAAGCGCGUCAUUUCUCUUUAUGCCAUCUGGGUAACCUCUCCCGUUUCGUGUAUUUUCAGUCAAGAAAGAAGGCAAUUUGAGAACUGAAGGAUACAAACUCUUGACUAGAAUGUGUUGUCAUCUAUCAUCCCGACACGGAAAAAGCUUCCAGUGGCUCAUCUGCUGCAGUACAUCUUUCCUGAAUGCUGCCUGUCUCAACGCAAACUGCCUCACUUGAUUUUCGGUCUUGAAAGUAAAUUGUGAGGCAUAAAGCAACUGUUACAGGCAUAAAACUGUUAGUGUACGUAACAAAAAUUCAGGCAUAUUUAUUUAUUAAAAAAUAAAAAGAAAGACAGCAACAAAAACAAAAAGCAAGAACAAAAAAACAAACAAACAAACAAAAAAACCAAGCGGAAUAUUGGUCCAAUCGUCACCACUGCAAUCCAUACCGGAGCGAUGCCCCAGCUCAUGAAAACUAUUGCUAAAAACCACAUCAUAAUGUUAAAAGGUUAUGAUCUUGUGGGCCACGUUCCUGACUGCCCAGAGCCACGUGCAACCCGUGGGCCAUGGGUUGAACAGGCCUGGUGUGGUGGCAGACCUGGAGUGCUAGGUUAACAUUAGGACUCGAUGACAUGAGCGGUCUUUCCAACCCCAAAGGGGUCACCAAGCAGCAGGCUAUGACGUCACCGGGUGAUGGAUUGUGAUUGCAUGGCCCUCACUGCUUAUACCGGGGCGCCGGCAGAGCCUGGCUCAGUCUGGCUUGUUCCUGGAUCGUGCUGAGCGACUCUGCGAGGCUUGGAGGUCGAGCAAGGCUUUAGCUGUGCUGUGCCGGGCCGUGCCUGUGGCUGCUUGCAGCAGCUCCCAGAGCUCAUCCCCACAGCACCUCUCGUGUUUCCCUGGCCCUGCCCUGUGCAGGCAGCCGGGGCCCAGCGAGACGCGCCCGCAGCAGCGGAGUGCGUGACUGCAGCACCGGUGAAGGAGAGCCACUGUCACCCUCUGCUCUCUCCACCUGUAGCAGCCAGUAAGACGACCAUGGCCACAACAGAGGCGUGGACGUGUCCCAUCUGCCGCGACGUGCGACGAG